rnacentral:rRNA from 1 species
UGGGGGAUUAGUGGCGAACGGGUGAGUAACACGUGAGUAACCUGCCCUUGACUCUGGGAUAAGCCUGGGAAACUGGGUCUAAUACCGGAUAUGACUCCUCAUCGCAUGGUGGGGGGUGGAAAGCUUUUGUGGUUUUGGAUGGACUCGCGGCCUAUCAGCUUGUUGGUGGGGUAAUGGCCUACCAAGGCGACGACGGGUAGCCGGCCUGAGAGGGUGACCGGCCACACUGGGACUGAGACACGGCCCAGACUCCUACGGGAGGCAGCAGUGGGGAAUAUUGCACAAUGGGCGCAAGCCUGAUGCAGCGACGCCGCGUGAGGGAUGACGGCCUUCGGGUUGUAAACCUCUUUCAGUAGGGAAGAAGCGAAAGUGACGGUACCUGCAGAAGAAGCGCCGGCUAACUACGUGCCAGCAGCCGCGGUAAUACGUAGGGCGCAAGCGUUAUCCGGAAUUAUUGGGCGUAAAGAGCUCGUAGGCGGUUUGUCGCGUCUGCUGUGAAAGACCGGGGCUCAACUCCGGUUCUGCAGUGGGUACCGGCAGACUA